AUGCAGCAAAUCUAAUAGACUGGAAAGCAUCAGAGUCACCAAACGACAGCAAUAGGGAAGCACAAAAAACUGAUAUCCUCAUGGCUAUGGUAUUUUCAGUUUUUCGUCGUUUGUUCUUCUUUUCCAUAUUUUUCUCUCUCGAUUACGAUAAUAAUAAUAAAACCAGUUACCACAAGACUAUUUCGAUCUUGUUUUCAA
rnacentral:ribozyme from 14 species